rnacentral:lncRNA from 1 species
UCACCAAUAAUAAAUCCUAAGCAUUCAAAGGUUAAAAAGUUUAUAAUAAACACAGUUCUUCUAUUAUUUAUAGUAUAUAUAGUAGCUGAAUUCAUAUUUUCUUUAUAUUUUUUCAUUAUUUUUUGAGAGAAAGAUAGUAUGCUAUCCGCUUCGGUUAUUUCAUUAUUGUAGUACUGUAGUUUUGCAUUUCUUCAUAUGAACACUUUAAUUGGUCCCUAAACGUUGUUAUAAAAUAAUCAUUUUAUUACUCUAUAGU